GUCAGUGUGGCAUAGUGGGUUGAGAGUUGAACUAUCACUCUGGAGAUCAGGGUUCGAAUCCCUCACUUGGCCA